CCUUUCCACAAAGUCCACAAGUCUGUCCCUUAAUCCAGUCCACAACUCUAAUCUGCAUGGAAACAUGGAAUCAACCAUUCAGUCACAUGGAAAACAAAUCUGGUGAUCAUCAAUUAAAGGUCUUUUACAGCAGUGUGACACAUUUAAGGGUAAUAAUGGUGAGUAACCUGUUGGGUGCUGAUACGGCAGAUUGCUAGUGGGCACCUCUCUUCCGUUAACCUUCACGACCACAUUGCUGUCCUUCAGGUACAAGUCGAUAUCACUGAAAAGGUAGAGUAAUAUUUUUUUUAUUUUUUGCAUGAUGAUUGAAGUUCGACGUCUUCUUGUUUCAACUUACAUGUCAGCGAUUUUAACGUUAAUGUGGUUGCGCACAUUGUCAUCCUUCCUCAGCAAGACCAUGAACUUCAUCUCCUCACUGCAGUCCUGAGCCAGAACUUCGUAGCAAUACUGAGGCAUCUCAUUCUUGAACCUCCUGUCGUUGAAGG